rnacentral:rRNA from 1 species
AUCAAGGCUGAGGCGUGAUGACGAGGCACUACGGUGCUGAAGCAACAAAUGCCCUGCUUCCAGGAAAAGCCUCUAAGCAUCAGGUAACAUCAAAUCGUACCCCAAACCGACACAGGUGGUCAGGUAGAGAAUACCAAGGCGCUUGAGAGAACUCGGGUGAAGGAACUAGGCAAAAUGGUGCCGUAACUUCGGGAGAAGGCACGCUGAUAUGUAGGUGAAGCGACUUGCUCGUGGAGCUGAAAUCAGUCGAAGAUACCAGCUGGCUGCAACUGUUUAUUAAAAACACAGCACUGUGCAAACACGAAAGUGGACGUAUACGGUGUGACGCCUGCCCGGUGCCGGAAGGUUAAUUGAUGGGGUUAGCGGUAACGCGAAGCUCUUGAUCGAAGCCCCGGUAAACGGCGGCCGUAACUAUAACGGUCCUAAGGUAGCGAAAUUCCUUGUCGGGUAAGUUCCGACCUGCACGAAUGGCGUAAUGAUGGCCAGGCUGUCUCCACCCGAGACUCAGUGAAAUUGAACUCGCUGUGAAGAUGCAGUGUACCCGCGGCAAGACGGAAAGACCCCGUGAACCUUUACUAUAGCUUGACACUGAACAUUGAGCCUUGAUGUGUAGGAUAGGUGGGAGGCUUUGAAGUGUGGACGCCAGUCUGCAUGGAGCCGACCUUGAAAUACCACCCUUUAAUGUUUGAUGUUCUAACGUUGGCCCGUUAUCCGGGUUGCGGACAGUGUCUGGUGGGUAGUUUGACUGGGGCGGUCUCCUCCUAAAGAGUAACGGAGGAGCACGAAGGUUGGCUAAUCCUGGUCGGACAUCAGGAGGUUAGUGCAAUGGCAUAAGCCAGCUUGACUGCGAGCGUGACGGCGCGAGCAGGUGCGAAAGCAGGUCAUAGUGAUCCGGUGGUUCUGAAUGGAAGGGCCAUCGCUCAACGGAUAAAAGGUACUCCGGGGAUAACAGGCUGAUACCGCCCAAGAGUUCAUAUCGACGGCGGUGUUUGGCACCUCGAUGUCGGCUCAUCACAUCCUGGGGCUGAAGUAGGUCCCAAGGGUAUGGCUGUUCGCCAUUUAAAGUGGUACGCGAGCUGGGUUUAGAACGUCGUGAGACAGUUCGGUCCCUAUCUGCCGUGGGCGCUGGAGAACUGAGGGGGGCUGCUCCUAGUACGAGAGGACCGGAGUGGACGCAUCACUGGUGUUCGGGUUGUCAUGCCAAUGGCACUGCCCGGUAGCUAAAUGCGGAAGAGAUAAGUGCUGAAAGCAUCUAAGCACGAAACUUGCCCCG